UACGUAGGGGGCAAGCGUUGUCCGGAAUCAUUGGGCGUAAAGCGCGUGUAGGCGGCUGGCUAAGUCCGCUCUGAAAGCCCGGGGCUCAACCCCGGGAGGCGGGUGGAUACUGGUCAGCUCGAGUCCGGAAGAGGAGUGUGGAAUUCCUGGUGUAGCGGUGAAAUGCGCAGAUAUCAGGAGGAACACCGAUGGCGAAGGCAGCACUCUGGGACGGUACUGACGCUGAGACGCGAAAGCGUGGGGAGCAAACAGG
rnacentral:rRNA from 1 species